GACGAACGCUGGCGGCGUGCUUAACACAUGCAAGUCGAACGGAAAGGCCUUUUCGGAGGUACUCGAGUGGCGGACGGGUGAGUAACACGUGGGUGAUCUGCCCUGCACUCUGGGAUAAGCCUGGGAAACUGGGUCUAAUACCGGAUAGGACCGCACUUUAGUGUGUGUGGUGGAAAGGUUUUUCGGUGUCGGAUGAGCCUGCGGCCUAUCAGCUUGUUGGUGGGGUAAUGGCCUUCCAAGGCGGCGGCGGGUAGCCGGACUGGGAGGUUGGGCGGCCACAUUGGGACCGAGAUACGGCCCAGGCCCCUACGGGGGGCAGGAGGGGGGAAUAUUGCACAAUGGGGGGAAGCCGGAUGCAGCGACGCCGCGUGGGGGAUGACGGCCUUCGGGUUGUAAACUCCUUUCGCCAGGGACGAAGCGUUUUGUGACGGUACCUGGAGAAGAAGCACCGGCUAACUACGUG
rnacentral:rRNA from 1 species